GACAGAGGGGGCAAGCGUUGCUCGGAAUUACUGGGCGUAAAGGGCGCGUAGGCGGGAUGGCAAGUCGGUCGUGAAAGCCUUCGGCUCAACCGAAGAACGUCGGCCGAUACUGCCGUUCUUGAGGGAUGCAGAGGAGACUGGAAUUCCCGGUGUAGCGGUGAAAUGUGUAGAGAUCGGGAAGAACACCCGUGGCGAAAGCGGCUCUCUGGAACGGUACUGACGCUGAGACGCGAAAGCGUGGGGAGCGAACAGG
rnacentral:rRNA from 1 species